rnacentral:tRNA from 1 species
GCCGCGGUGAUGGAACUGGUAGACAUAUGAGACUUAAAAUCUCAGGAUCGAAAGAUCGUGCGGGUUCGACCCCCGCCCGCGGUA